GAUGAAGAACGUAGCGAAAUGCGAUACGUAAUGUGAAUUGCAAAUUCAGUGAAUCAUCGAGUCUUUGAACGCACAUUGCGCCCCCUGGUAUUCCGGGGGGCAUGCCUGUCCGAGCGUCAUUGCUGCCCUCAAGCACGGCUUGUGCGUUGGGCCCCGUCCUCCGAUCCCGGGGGACGGGCCCGAAAGGCAGCGGCGGCACCGCGUCCGGUCCUCGAGCGUAUGGGGCUUUGUCACCCGCUCUGUAGGCCCGGCCGGCGCUUGCCGAUCAACCCAAAUUUUUAUCCAGGUUGACCUCGGAUCAGGUAGGGAUACCCGCUGAACUUAAGCAUAUCAAUAAGCGGAGGA
rnacentral:misc_RNA from 1 species